GAUGAACGCUGGCGGCGUGCCUAAUACAUGCAAGUCGAGCGAACGGACGAGAAGCUUGCUUCUCUGAUGUUAGCGGCGGACGGGUGAGUAACACGUGGAUAACCUACCUAUAAGACUGGUAUAACUUCGGGAAACCGGAGCUAAUACCGGUUAAUAUUUUGAACCGCAUGGUUCAAAAGUGAAAGACGGUCUUUCUGUCACUUAUAGAUGGAUCCGCGCUGCAUUAGCUAGUUGGUAAGGUAACGGCUUACCAAGGCAACGAUGCAUAGCCGACCUGAGAGGGUGAUCGGCCACACUGGAACUGAGACACGGUCCAGACUCCUACGGGAGGCAGCAGUAGGGAAUCUUCCGCAAUGGGCGAAAGCCUGACGGAGCAACGCCGCGUGAGUGAUGAAGGUCUUCGGAUCGUAAAACUCUGUUAUUAGGGAAGAACAUAUGUGUAAGUAACUGUGCACAUCUUGACGGUACCUAAUCAGAAAGCCACGGCUAACUACGUG
rnacentral:rRNA from 1 species